GACGAACGCUGGCGGCGUGCUUAACACAUGCAAGUCGAGCGGUAAGGCCCUUUCGGGGGUACACGAGCGGCGAACGGGUGAGUAACACGUGGGUGACCUGCCCUUAGCUCUGGGAUAAGCCCGGGAAACUGGGUCUAAUACCGGAUAUGACUCCAUGACGCAUGUUGUGGGGUGGAAAGCCUUGUGCGGCUGAGGAUGGGCCCGCGGCCUAUCAGCUUGUUGGUGGGGUGAUGGCCUACCAAGGCGACGACGGGUAGCCGGCCUGAGAGGGCGACCGGCCACACUGGGACUGAGAUACGGCCCAGACUCCUACGGGAGGCAGCAGUGGGGAAUCUUGCGCAAUGGGCGAAAGCCUGACGCAGCGACGCCGCGUGAGGGAUGAC
rnacentral:rRNA from 1 species